rnacentral:lncRNA from 1 species
CCUGGCCUCCCCAACUCCAGGCUAUCUGUCCCCAACAACCCAGCGCAGUAGGGAUGGAUUGUACCUGUUUCAGAGCUGUGGAAACUAAGCUCGUGGAGGUUAAGCACCUCAAUGACACAGAGCAGCUUCCGGACCCCACCAGACUUGGAUUUUCCUCUCCUCUCAGCCCUGUGAUGAGGUAUGUGUCUUGGGUGUGUUGCUGAUCCCCUCUGGGCCUGUCUCCUUGUCUGUUAAGAAGGAAUAGUAAUAAUCCAUAUCUCUGAACGAAGCUAUUGUGUAGAUGAAAUAGACUCACAUAUGUAAAACAGCAUAGCACUGGGGACAUGGUGACCACGCAGCAGAUGUCAGCGUCCAGGGUUUAACAUCACUUGCCGGGUGAUGAAGCAAGGGAGAGGCGCCAGCACUGGAGCCCAGGCCCUUCAAACCAUCCUGCCUACGAUGCCCAGCACAGUGGAGACACUUAGAUAUUUGAUCUGUGAAGGAAUUUCCAAGAGUGGAAAUUAAAGUGGGGAUUUUCCAGGUUUUGGGGACCUCAGUCUAUCUUCUAAAUGAUUCCCCCUGCAAGAAAAGACUGCCUGCUCCCCAUCCCCAGCCAGCACCACCCAUUCUUGCUGUCCCCCAGCCUCCCAGCCAUCCCCUUGAGCCUUCACCCUAACCACGCAGCCCUGACAUCAACCAGGGCCCUUUGCCCCUGCUUUGUAGCAACCAAUUAGCUUGACUUCUGUUCCCAUGGUUAUUUACAGCUUCGUUGGCAACUAGUACAUUUCCCAGAAACAGGCCCACAAUGCUGGUCCCCCUGGCAUCAUCCCUCUGGCAGGACUGCCCCUUUCUCCUGGGUGUCUGAUGAGGACUCUCCUGCUGGGACAACAGAGGGACAGACCAGAGAACCAAGAGGAAAUGCACUAAGAUGUAUCAAGUAACUGUUCCUAGGGCAUCCACCAUGCCCUCUGCCCAGUGAGAACUGCUAGAGCACUUCCCGGGCCUCCAGCAUCAGCUCCUCUCCCCCGGAGCAGGUGCCCUCCGUGUAGUCACAGGACCAGCCGAGCUCCAGGGGUCCCGUGCCAGAUCUCCACAAACCUUACCCCUGGGAUCCCAAAGGAGGAGAGCAGAGAAUUGACAGACGAGCUGGGGGACUCUGAUGCCCCCAUCUCCCAGGAGGUACCCCCGCCCGCGCCCACCCAGGGAGGAAGCUUCGAGACCCCACAGAGUGCACAGUCCCCCUCGCUGCCCCCUGCCACUGCCCAGGAUGGCUCCUCACCCCAGUCAGGGCUGGACUCUGGGUUCUGCCGGCUGCGCACGGGUCCAGUCCCCUCUCCCGGGUCUGUCCUGAGUCGUACUGCUGCCUCCGGCCACUUAGCAUGCAGCCCUGGUUGUUCGGGCUGCAGCAACCAAAUGAGAUUAGCUUGCCCGCUAAAGCAAGUCCCCACUCGCCGCCACCCACAGCCGCGCACCGCCAGCUGUUGUGGCGAGCCUCCCACGGCCAGGCGCGCCCAGCCAGGCCCUGCCACCUCUCCCCACAGCAAACCUNNNNNNNNNNNNNNNNNNNNNNNGGGCAGUGGGAAGAGAAGGAAGGAUCCCGUCCAGCUGAGGAGAUCCCCUUCCCCCAACGGACCCGGAGUCAACAGGGGGGUGGGGCGGGGCGGGGGCAGCCGCAGAGGGAGACCGACAGGAUUAAGGCUGCUUCCUGGGUUCCUA